UACGUAGGGUGCGAGCGUUAAUCGGAAUUACUGGGCGUAAAGCGUGCGCAGGCGGUUUUGUAAGCCAGGUGUGAAAUCCCCGGGCUCAACCUGGGAAUGGCAUUUGGGACUGCAAGGCUGGAGUGCGGCAGAGGAGACUGGAAUUCCUGGUGUAGCAGUGAAAUGCGUAGAUAUCGAGAGGAACACCUGCGGCGAAGGCGGGUUGCUGGGCCGACACUGACGCUGAUGCGCGAAAGCCAGGGGAGCGAACGGG
rnacentral:rRNA from 1 species